AUGUCCGUGUAUGACUACGCAAAUACACAAGUCUUCCUGAGCUCACUUGGACGCAAAGUACCACGACGCCUGAAGACCUCGGAUUCAUCAAGUUCCCACGACGACUUAAGUGUACCCUCCGGAUCGCCAAGUUCCGCUACCGUCGCCAAAACCCGAGACGAAGUACCCCGACGGUUCGUCGAGACCGGCAAGUCACAGGAUUGUCCUGGAUAUCGUCAAGUACCACGACGACCCUCGAAGAGUUCGGAUUCGACAAGUUCGACUAUGGAAUGGGAACCACUACUUCAACUACCGGCGCCGUGA
rnacentral:rRNA from 1 species